rnacentral:rRNA from 1 species
AGCAGCCGCGGUAAUUCCAGCUCCAAUAGCGUAUAUUAAAGUUGCUGCAGUUAAAAAAGCUCGUAGUUGAAUUUCGGGAUCAAUAUGUUGGUCGUGCCUCGGUACGUACUAGCUUAUUGGUUUCUCCCUUCUGACGAACCAUGAUGUCAUUUAUUUGGUGUUAUGGGAAAUCAGGACUGUUACUUUGAAAAAAAUUAGAGUGUUUAAAGCAGGCUCACGCUUGAAUACAUUAGCAUGGAAUAAUGAAAUAGGGCGUUUGAUUCUAUUUUGUUGGUUUCUAGGAUCGACGUAAUGAUUAAUAGGGAUAGUUGGGGGCAUUAGUAUUCAAUUGUCAGAGGUGAAAUUCUUGGAUUUUAUUGAAGACUAACUACUGCGAAAGCAUUUGCCAAGGAUGUUUUCAUUAAUCAAGAACGAAAGUUAGGGGAUCGAAGACGAUCAGAUACCGUCGUAGUCUUAACCAUAAACUAUGCCGACUAGGGAUCGGAUGAUGUUAAUUUUUUAAUGACUCA